ensembl:lncRNA
CGGCAAACUCUGGAAUUCUCAAAGUCCUCAUCGUCCCAUAGAUCUGGGGCUUGGCUUGGAGCCCUGUUCCCUGAAAUACCACAGAACUGGCUUCUGAGGAGAGGCGACGUGAGCUGCUGAGCUCCAGGUUGCUGCUGUUUCCCUCCCUCAGGAUGACGUGUUCCUGCAUGUGUUGGAUGGCACCUGGCUCACAUCGUGCCGUGGUGUGGCACUCUGGGACACCUAGGAAGGUUUGCUGCGUGAUGGAGUCCAUGCUGUCUCCAUCCUCCCUUCAGUCUCCAAAUGCCUGGCUUACCAAGGAGGCCUCUUGUCUCAUGUUCAUGGAAGAGAACAGGAAGCACAGGCAGCGUACUUACAGAUGAGCUUAUUAUGAGAAGAAGCCGCAUACAGACAGGAUUCUGCUACCUGUGGCAGAAAAAAGGUUUGAUCUGCGCAGGACCUCUCCAGACCCCUUCACCCUCACUUGGGAGGAAAAAUCGAACAGCAAGAAGGACAUGCUCAGAGGAGUUGGAUUACAGCUUACACGUGUAUUCGAACCCAGAGUUACACAACUGCAUGAAGAGCUGUGUGCAGAAAUGCUUUCUGAUUUCUGCUUACAACAGCCUAGGUACAAAAUCCCUGUUAUUUGUAAAGGAAACAGAAACGUUUGCUAGGUAGAGAAUUGCUGAAAAUGCUACACCUGCAAGAAGGUAGAAGAGUCCUUGAGAAUUCAGUGCUGGUUAGCACUGAUGAAACACAGGAUAGAUGGUGAAAUAUAUCCUUCAAAAACUGACACUUGUAUGUUUUGGCACUUGGAGCUUGCGCUGGUUGCUCACCCAUCGGUUGUAUUCUGACACGUAGUUCCUAGAGCUUUACUGCCUUGCACGCUUUGGCAGUUUCACUGAUCACCAGCAUUUUACUUUCCUUAUCAUUCUACCUUUAUUAGAUAAUUUUCUUCUCAAACGUCUUGAUCUCUGAGUAACAGCUCUGCUUCUGGCAGAGUCGUGCUGUUUCCAAAAGAAACAUCAAAGUGGUGUUUUCACGUAUGAGUGAAAGUGCGUUGCAGGGAAAGGCACUGUCUUAUAACCAAGUUUGUUUUUUAAGCUCAAAAUAAGCAGGAUUUGAAUGUUAUUAAAUAACAUUUUUUUUUUGUGAGAAGGAACUGGAUUUAGAAAAAUGAACCGACUCUUCAGCCAGACCCGUCAUGAAUUGCAAAAGCAGCUGGGAGAUUUGGCCUGAGAAUCAGGUUGCUUUUUCUUUUUUCUUCGUCAGAGUUUGUAAGAGAUUUGGAGGGACAUAACAUUUAUUUCCUACUUCCCUGAGCUUCAGUCCAGGCCUUGGAAAAACCCAUCUGACAGUGAGUUUGUUUGUAUAUUUCAAAUUUUUUCCUAAGUAUGCUGGGCUCAUUAGCAAGCCUUGGAAAAUGCACGCUUUGUUGAAGUUAAUAUGGGAAAUAAGAUACUGAGGGCUCAAAUCUGUCUCCAGAAUAUAAAUAAGCAUACCUUCCUUUGGACCAGGUUUUGACCAGAGUCAUACUGGAACCCUUGUUUCUGGGAGAGUUACGAAUGUGCUUUGCUAGGAAAUGCUGUUCCUUAAAGAGCUCGUGAAGCCUACAAGGUCUACAUGCAGAAUGACUGCAGUGCAUGGCACCAUGUGGCCUGAGCAGGACCUCACUUGUGUUGGCAAGAGAUGCUGCUGGCACGUUCUUUGCCAUGGAAGCUACUGGAACACUUGUCUGCAACACGUCAUGAGGACAUGGCAGUGACAGCUCAACACUGAUCAGGCUUCUUCAACCAAUAUGCAAACCAUUUAAAUAGUAGAGGAGCCCAAUCAAAAGGUGUUGCUCAAAAUUGUGCUUCAAAGGCUUAACCAAAAAAAUAAUCCAUGACAUUGCAUGAAGCAGUCAUAUUUACCUGUGCAUCUCCAUUUCUAUGAUAAUUUUGUAAUUCAAAGAUUGGAUUUGAGACUUUCAUAUGUGUUGAAUGUCUGUGUAAGCUCUGCUUACCCAGUUGGCACAAGGUGGUUGUUUCCUUGUGGAUCAGAAUUUAUACUUCUCAUUAAGCCAAAGUCAUUUCUAUUCACCAUUGUCACACUAAGUUGUGUCCUUUGGCAAUCCCCUAAUUCCAAAAGCCCAGUUGUUAAGUAAGCUUUGAUUAAAGGGGUCUCUUUUCAAGCCAAGUUUAUGGUAAUGUUAGAGAACACUAAGAGAGCAGAGCUGCACAGUACUGAAGGAUGUGGGGUGUCUCAAAUUGCCACUAGAGAAAAACACAUUCUUGAGGCAGGGUGUAGAGCUUUUCAUUUGAAACAUGCUCUGGUGCUCAAGGCCCCUCAAUCAAUGAUGUACUUGGCUCUUCAGCUACUAACUGGAGGAGUACGUGCAUGACUCUGAGCGUGGCACCAGGAGACACCUUCCUGCUCUGAUUGCUGAAGUAUUUCAGGCUGCAGUAUUAUGUGGCAAACUGCAAAAUCCUUUUCACUGUCCACUGAUCCGGCUGCAAGUAUUCUUUAUUAUAUUUUGCCUGUGAUAGAAGACACAUUUUCAUAUUUCCAGAAUGAUUAUUUUUGUAGGGUUCAACAGCUUUCCCCACUGCUCUUUAUCCAGAAUCACACUUUGCAGCAUCAUUUAGUUGUGGUGAAGAUAACAACAUUAUAUGCUGUGAAUGGACAGCUAGAUGAAUGCUACCCCACUUAGGUAAACUGCUUCUGUGCAUGCGCAAUUGUAAAUGGUAGAAAAGAAUGCCUUUCUGUAUUUUUUAUAACUCUACUUUUUGCAGCAACACUGCAUUUAGCUCACCACAACUAAAUGCACAGUUAGUAGAAGGAAUGUUCUGCCUAAGUAUCUGUUCGAACGUUUUGGGAACCCUCGGUGUAUUUGAUUAAACCUUUCUGUAGCCAGCAAAGCUCCUUGUGAAUGCAUAUACAGCAAAGCAUUUGGACUCGUAUGCAGUGCUGCAGCUUAACUUGGUUAAUCCUAAGCCAACACUUCAGUAAUAAGCAAAUUUCUGAGUUAACUGUCAGUUUAGUCUUUAGCUAUCUAUUGAUGGUGUAUACCAGAGAUCAGUGCUUCCCUGAGGCACUGGUGUUUUGAUUUUCAUCUACCUGUAUGAGAUGAUGAAGUGUCACUCUUUGCAUUUCUUUUUUCUUAAUUGGGGAAUUUGCACUCAGGAAAAUUACACAACUCUCCAAAAAGGAGCAGGUGUUCAUAGCUGUUGGAAGAGGUCUAUGUCCUCCACCACAGACCUGGCUUCUUCCUCAACUCAUUUGCUCCAGGAGGGUUUUAAAACUAUUUUUUGUAAGAGGAAAUAUACUGUCUUGUACUGAAAAUAGGCAGAACUAAUUUAUUCUAACUUGGUAUUUGUAGCUUGGAACUGUAGUCGGAGAGUCAGGUAACGUGGAGGGGUGGACUGGGACCUCUCCUUUAUGAUUAAUUAUUGCUGUUCCUUCAACAAAAGUCAUGAAAAAGUCCCUCCCAUAAUUACCUUAUAACGAAUGUCUCAUUCCUUUGCAGAAACCGGUAAGCAGUAAUUAUUUCUUAAAUUGUCUGAUUGCUUCUCUGACCCCUAGAAAUGGAUGCAGUAUCAUCAGGAUCACUAGCAGACAUGGAAGGCAGCGCUGUUUGCACAGGAGUGGAACAUUCCUGGUACUGGGGCCAUGGCCACGCUCUGCAGCAGAGAGAGGACACUGCAGGGUGACUCUACAGACAGGAAUAGGAGAGACAAUGGUCAUGGUGUGACACCCUGUGUAGUAUGUGGUGCUGGGCACAUAAAGCUGAGGCACAUGAGAAAUCAUAUUGCAGGCACUGCCUUGAGCAACAGAGGUGAUGCUGAAUGUGCCAAAGAGAGCAGAUGUGCACAGACCUAUGGAGACGUGCAUAGGAUACCUAUGCAGGGUAUCCUGCUACAUGUAGAGGCACUGAAACUUCAUAGAAUUAUAGAAUGGCUUGGAUUGGAAAGGACCUUAAAGCCCACACAGUCCCAUCCCUGGCUAUGGGCAGGUUCCUCCCCAACAGCUCAGGCUGCCUGGGGCUCCAUCCAACCUGGCCCCUGUUGAUGCACCCCGGGACACAGUUGGCCUUCUGGGCUGCAACUGCACACUGCUGGCUCAUGUCAAGCUUUUGGUCCGCCAGGACCCCCAUGUCCUCGUCCACAGGGCUGCUCUCAAGGAGUUCUUCUCUCAGUCUGUACACAUAUCUGGGAUUGCACUGACCCAAGCGCGACAGCAUGCACUUGGCCUUGUUGAACCUUGUAGGUUCACACGGGCUCACUUCUCAGGCAUUUCCAGGUUCCUCUGGAUGACAUCCCUUCCUCUGUUGCACCACUGAAACACUCAGCUUGGUGUUGUCUGCACAUAGCGCGGGCUGCAGCCUGAACAAGAUCAGCUCAGAUGUGUUCUGAGGAUAUUCCCAUGUGUGUCCACAGCAACUGAAUGUCUGUGAAAGGCUGCACGCUGAGCUGCCCUGCAUAUUGUUAAGGAGAUGUGGUUCCACGCUGAUCCCAACACUCCUACAGUCUAUCACGUAGCUGCUUCUACCCACAGAAUGAGGAGAACAGGGAGUUAACCUUCUGUAAUGUGGACAUUAAUACACAUCAUAGAAUCAUAGAAUGGCCUGAGCUGAAAAGGACCACAGUGCUCAUCUUGUUCCAACCCCCUGCUAUGUGCAGGGUCGCCAACCACCACACCAGGCUGCCCAGAGCCACAUCCAGCCUGGCCUUGAAUGCCUCCAGGGAUGGGGCAUCCACAACCUACUUGGGCAAGCUGUUCCAGUGCCUCACCACCCUCUGGGUGAAAAUGACUUAAAAUAAGCAGUGUCGUGUGACAGGUGUCAUGAGGAGAGAUGACAUGGCACAUUUAAUAGGUUUCUGAGGUGUUGCACUACUUCGGAUGAAACCCCAAAGUGCUUGUUACCAGUUCUAGAGAUGGUACCAGAAAUACAUGAGCACUUAUAGGUGCGGAUUAUGUGUAUUGUUAGCUACUAAAAUAGCUAUUGAAAUAGUUGCUGAGGUAUUUGGUGGGGCUUCUACUUGCCAGAGCAUUUGUAUUUGAUCUCACAGUUAUAUGCAUUACACUUCUAUAAUACAUGAACAGAGCUUUUCAAUGCACGGACCCUAUUCUAUCCCACCAAAAACUAAUUGGUAAGAAAAUCACCCCUCUGUGGAGAGCAGCAGCAUUUUCUUGAGACUUAAUAGAUCACACUGUCCACAUCUCCUUUGCUCCUCCAUGACCAUUUGCUGCUAUGCACUUCAGUUGCUUGCACCAGAACUUGUGUUAUUUUUGCAUAUGAUGUAUAUAGUAAAGGGCUUUUACAAUAAAUAGAAUGUAUGGCUUCAUUUGCUGCAGCAUGCAAAUGAGAGCUCUGUGCCGUGUCGUACAGAACAGCUGCUUACUCAGCAUCUGGCGUUGGCUGCUGAUUGUCCUUCAGCUGUAGAAAUAAGAGAUUAGCAAAUAAGUGUGGGAAGUAUGACCACCUUGUGCAAGGCACCACCUUCUUUAUCUCCCUGUGGCGUUACGGUCACUGAAGGUUUGAUAGAUACAUGUCAUUGGACGGGGAACGAAGCCUAAGGCCCAGCAGGGUUGGUGGCCUGUCCUGCUCACACCAAAUGGGGGGCAAAGCUGGAAGCUCAAGAACCCUUGUCUGCAAAGUGGACUUCCAUCAUCUUGUUUUCUCUAAUUCGUCCGUUUUGGUUGCAAAUUCUCAGGAGGCAGAAGCUGUCUCAUCCCAUGCAUUACUCAGUGCUCAGAACAGCAUGUCUUCAUCAUGGCUGGUAUUUCUAAGAAUUAUAGCCUUUCCAAACAAAGGCGCAUCAUGGAGAAAUAAUAACGCUCAUCCUUAGUGAGUGUCCUAUCCAACAUCGCAGGGAUUAAGUACAAAUAGAGAAUAAAACUACUUUUCUGGUUCUAAAAAUAAUUCUUCUGGGUCAUGUGGAAAAUCAUUGUGGAGGUUAUUUGUGGGAGUUCAAAUGUUCAGUUGUUCUACUUUCCUUUUUCUAG